rnacentral:rRNA from 1 species
AACUUUCAACAACGGAUCUCUUGGUUCUGGCAUCGAUGAAGAACGCAGCGAAAUGCGAUAAGUAAUGUGAAUUGCAGAAUUCAGUGAAUCAUCGAAUCUUUGAACGCACAUUGCGCCCCCUGGUAUUCCGGGGGGCAUGCCUGUUCGAGCGUCAUUUCACC